rnacentral:lncRNA from 1 species
CGCUUUCCGCUCAGCUUAAUGCCCACGAGAGUUUCCUUUCUGUCCAUGGCCAAAAUUAGGGCUCUAAGCUCUUUAUAUUGAAGGCAUCAAAAGAUAUCUUUACAGGCUAGAAUGCAAUCACUUAUGCAGUCUCAUUGGUUCUAGUGUCUAUUUUUACCAUUCUCUCCUCUUUUUCCCCAGAUGUUCUCAAUGAUCUUGGUGGUCUCUGUCCCAUAGGAGCACCCUACUUAGACCUGCUCUUUCCCCUUGAACCACAGUCUGAAUCGAAGUCCCAGGCCCCACUGGCUGGUAAAGCAAGGUCAGCUUGACAACUGUACUGUGAGAAAGCGAACAAUGCUUUUAUAGAGGUAGAAGCAAAGUAUUCCAGGAGCACUGAACCAGAUUACUUCAGUUUACAAAUUAUGUUUCACACAUAUUAUCUCAUUUGAGCUGACCUGGGACUGAUAACAAUAGUUGUCACCAUUUAUUGAAUUCCUACCAUGUCUAGACAAGAUGUUGUGCUGAGUGUGUUGAACUUUUUAAACCUCAUUUGAUUCUUACCACAAAUUGUAUGAUGCAUACAGUAUGUUAUUCUCAUUUUACAGAUGUGGAAACUGAGGCUGAGAGAGAUUAAGUAACUUUUCCAAGGUUAAAUAACCAAGAAGUGACAAAACUGGGAUUUGGAUGCAGUUAUACAUGACUUCAAGGCCUAUAAUCUUAAUUACUACUGUCAUUAAUGACCUUAGUUUAAUAAUACCCUGUUUUCAAAAAUAAUAGGUUUUUAUUUUCCUUUCCAUGCUGAUCCUAAAGUGGUUUACAGAACCCCAGGAGGAAUUAUUUAGGGAGGACUCAACUAAAUUAAGAUCAUGAUAUAAUCUCAGAUCCCCCUAAAAAUUCAUUAAUGUAAAGGUAUUUGGUAUCUCCAGAUAAUUCUCUUCACUGUACUUUUCACUAAGCAUGACCUUCUCCCGUCCUUCAGGCCUCUUCUCCUUCUUCUAUGUUCCAAACAUCCAACCCUGCAUUGCAACCCAUUACUGGAUAUCUUCCCAUUAGUUGACAAUUCAGUUAGACCUGAGGCUCUUUAUCCACCUGAUUUUCUUUUUUCUUUUUAAUCUGAAAAAAACG